rnacentral:lncRNA from 1 species
UUCUUUCUCUAUAUAGGUUUUGCGAGAAGGGUAUUGAUAAGCCCCGAAGAUCUGCAAGAGUGCCACGAAGAACCCAAGAUUUUGUGGAUUAAAAGAUCCCCAACUGCAGGUUGAAGAAGGAGUCAAAACAGAAGGAAGAAGAAGCGGUCUAUCAAUCAGGAGGGGAAUCUGCUACCAGUAGGAUUUCUUAGUUGUUUGUAGUAGUUACUGGAUUUUUACUUUUCCUUGAUUUUCUGAUAUUCAAUUUAAUCAUGUCUUCAUAGAGUUAGGAU